rnacentral:misc_RNA from 1 species
GAUGAAGAACGUAGUGAAAUGCGAUAAGUAAUGUGAAUUGCAGAAUUCAGUGAAUCAUCGAAUCUUUGAACGCACCUUGCGCCCUUUGGCCAUUCCGAAGGGCAUGCCUGUUUGAGUAUCAUGAACACCUCAACUCUUUAUGGUUUUCCAUGAUGAGCUUGGACUCUGGGGGUUUUGCUGGCUCACAGUCGGCUCCUCUAAAAUGAAUCAGCUUACCAGUGUUUGGUGGGUAUCAUGGGUGUGAUAACUAUCUACGCUUGUGGUUUUUCCACCAGGUAACCUUCAGCAGUGGAGGUUCGCUGGAGCUCAUAGAUGUCUCUCCUCAGUGAGGACAGCCCUUUGAAUGUUUGAUCUCAAAUCAGGUAGGACUACCCGCUGAACUUAAGAAUAUCAAUAAGCGGAGGA